CGAAGAUUAAAUAAUCUGUGUCUCUAUUGUGCCGCCAAGGAACAUACCGUGAAAGAAUGUCCCAGUCUUCUUAAGUUAAAAAAGGUGGGACCAUCAAGGGGUGACUACACAGGUCGUGAUUGACUCGGGAGCCACGAAUAAUUUCAUUGACACUACUUUUGUUUACUCACAUAUGUUACCACUUAUUAAAAAACAUAUUUCACUUCCAA